rnacentral:misc_RNA from 1 species
GAAAUGCGAUAAGUAGUGUGAAUUGCAGAAUUCAGUGAAUCAUCGAAUCUUUGAACGCACAUUGCGCCCCUUGGUAUUCCAUGGGGCAUGCCUGUUCGAGCGUCAUUUGUACCCUCAAGCUUUGCUUGGUGUUGGGCGUCUUGUCGUAUUACGACUCGCCUUAAAUACAUUGGCAGCCGGCACUUUGGCCUAGGAGCGCAGCACAUUUUGCGAUCGUAGCCCGUUGUACUGGCGUCCAUCAAGAACAUUUACCACGUUUGACCUCGGAUCAGGUAGGGAUACCCGCUGAACUUAA